CUAUCAGAGUGGGACUAAGCCAUGCGAGUCAACAUAGCAAUAUGUGGCAUACGGCUCAGUAACACGUAGUCAACAUGCCCAGGGGACGUGGAUAACCUCGGGAAACUGAGGAUAAACCGCGAUAAGUCACUACUUCUGGAAUGGGUAAUGACUCAAAUCUAUAUGGCCCCUGGAUAGGACUGCGGCCGAUCAGGCUGUUGGUGAGGUAAUGGCCCACCAAACCUGUAACCGGUACGGGCUCUGAGAGGAGGAGCCCGGAGAUGGGCACUGAGACAAGGGCCCAGGCCCUAUGGGGCGCAGCAGGCGCGAAACCUCUGCAAUAGGCGAAAGCUUGACAGGGUUACUCUGAGUGAUUUCCGUUAAGGAAAUCUUUUGGCACCUCUAAAAAUGGUGCAGAAUAAGGGGUGGGCAAGUCUGGUGUCAGCCGCCGCGGUAAUACCAGCACCCCGAGUGGUCGGGACGUUUAUUGGGCCUAAGCAUCCGUAGCCGGUUCUACAAGUCUUCCGUUAAAUCCAACUGCUUAACAGGUGGGCUGCGGAAGAUACUAUAGAGCUAGGAGGCGGGAGAGGCAAGCGGUACUCGAUGGGUAGGGGUAAAAUCCGUUGAUCCAUUGAAGACCACCAGUGGCGAAGGCGGCUUGCCAGAACGCGCUCGACGGUGAGGGAUGAAAGCUGGGGGAGCAAACCGGAUUAGAUACCCGGGUAGUCCCAGCUGUAAACGAUGCAGACUCGGUGAUGAGUUGGCUAUAUGCCAACUCAGUGCCGCAGGGAAGCCGUUAAGUUUGCCGCCUGGGGAGUACGGUCGCAAGACUGAAACUUAAAGGAAUUGGCGGGGGAGCACCACAAGGGUGAAGCCUGCGGUUCAAUUGGAU
rnacentral:rRNA from 1 species